UAGUCAUAUGCUUGUCUCAAAGAUUAAGCCAUGCAUGUCUAAGUAUAAACAUCUUUAUACAGUGAAACUGCGUACAGCUCAUUAUAUCAGUUAUUAUUUAUUUGAUGGUACCUUACUACAUGGAUACCCGUAGUAAUUCUAGAGCUAAUACAUGCGUAAAGUCCCGACUUCUUGGAAGGGAUGUAUUUAUUAGAUUAAAAACCAAUGCAGGCAACUGCUCCUUUGGUGACUCAUAGUAACUUUAACGGAUCGCACGGCUUCACGUCGGCGACAGUUCAUUCAAAUUUCUGCCCUAUCAGCUUUCGACGGUACUGUAGUGGACUACCGUGGCAUUAACGGGUGACGGAGAAUUAGGGUUCGAUUCCGGAGAGGGAGCCUGAGAAACGGCUACCACAUCCAAGGAAGGCAGCAGGCGCGCAAAUUACCCAAUCCUGGCACAGGGAGGUAGUGACAAAAAAUAACAAUACCGGGCCUUUUUAGGUCUGGUAAUUGGAAUGAGUACAAUUUAAAUCCCUUAACGAGUAUCCAUUGG
rnacentral:rRNA from 1 species